UACGUAGGUGGCGAGCGUUGUCCGGAUUUACUGGGCGUAAAGGGAGCGUAGGCGGACUUUUAAGUGAGAUGUGAAAUACCCGGGCUCAACUUGGGUGCUGCAUUUCAAACUGGAAGUCUAGAGUGCAGGAGAGGAGAAUGGAAUUCCUAGUGUAGCGGUGAAAUGCGUAGAGAUUAGGAAGAACACCAGUGGCGAAGGCGAUUCUCUGGACUGUAACUGACGCUGAGGCUCGAAAGCGUGGGGAGCAAACAGGAUUAGAUAUU
rnacentral:rRNA from 1 species